CCUGAAAUAGCUCAGUUGGGAGAGCGUUAGACUGAAAAUCUAAAGGUCCCUAUGCAGGG
rnacentral:tRNA from 1 species